rnacentral:tRNA from 1 species
GGGUAGGUUGAGCAGGUGGUGAGCUCAGCUGACUGUAAAUCAGUAGCUUCGGCUGAAAAGGUUCGAUUCCUUUCCUGCCCA